GAUGAACGCUGGCGGCGUGCCUAAUACAUGCAAGUCGAGCGAACAGACGAGGAGCUUGCUCCUCUGACGUUAGCGGCGGACGGGUGAGUAACACGUGGAUAACCUACCUAUAAGACUGGGAUAACUUCGGGAAACCGGAGCUAAUACCGGAUAAUAUAUUGAACCGCAUGGUUCAAUAGUGAAAGACGGUUUUGCUGUCACUUAUAGAUGGAUCCGCGCCGCAUUAGCUAGUUGGUAAGGUAACGGCUUACCAAGGCAACGAUGCGUAGCCGACCUGAGAGGGUGAUCGGCCACACUGGAACUGAGACACGGUCCAGACUCCUACGAGAGGCAGCAGUAGGGAAUCUUCCGCAAUGGGCGAAAGCCUGACGGAGCAACGCCGCGUGAGUGAUGAAGGUCUUCGGAUCGUAAAACUCUGUUAUUAGGGAAGAACAAAUGUGUAAGUAACUAUGCACGUCUUGACGGUACCUAAUCAGAAAGCCACGGCUAACUACGUG
rnacentral:rRNA from 1 species